rnacentral:rRNA from 1 species
AUGAAGGAUGCUGCUGUGAGCCAUGCCACCCCAUCAGGAAGUGUUGAAGUGGAUGCCCCCGAGACCAACCUAAGCAAGGAAGAUUCCCGCUCAUCUGACACUGAUUCCAAGCGCGUGCGUGGUGGCACUCCUGUGCCCACGACAGAAGUUGCUGAGGCGGCAGUUCAUAAUGAUAUGCCAUCUGCAGGUGAGAGUCUUGGCACUACAGCUCCAGCUCCUGGUGGUGCAUAUAUUGCUCAGGCCACUAUUCCAUGUGCUGGUCUUCCACCUAGGCGUCGUAGCCCCCGCAAGCAAUCAAUAGUCGUAUCCAACGCACCAGCUGCAGCUAGGAGCAGCAGAGAUGAGUCUGGUUACGUCCCUGCGUCCACACUGUUCCCGCCAACUGCCAAAAGCAAUGUUAUGGAGAAACCAGAAGACCAUAGUACAACUGAUGCAGGUGCCAAGCCGGGCACGAGUGAUGAAGGUGAACGUCCGGAGCAGGCUGCGCCUUUACCCGCAGUGGAAAUCCCCAGCUUAAAUCUGCUCACUUCCAAACUCCCAAUCAACAUUGGUGUCCCCUACAGCCCCAACAAGAGGAUUGUCAACAAAUCUACGCCCAUCACCACUGACAGCACGCCCCGCCCUAUUGGCAAGCCUGAUGAUUCUGCAGCGCCUGAUUCAGAUAUGUUUGUUGAUCUUUCACCAUUGGAUUCUGCCCCGCAAGUUGUUCGUGGUCCGGCCAGUAGGCAUGAGAGGCACCCAAUGGCCUUCACCCCACCGAGCUUCAGCCUUGGCGUCAGUCAAGAUCAACCAGUGGCUCAAGAUCCUAUGCCAGUUGCCUUUGCUUUUUCGGGAGGCAUGCCCGCAAUGAUGGCGUAG